UACGUAGGUGACAAGCGUUGUCCGGAUUUACUGGGCGUAAAGAGCGCGCAGGCGGUCGUUCAAGUCGAGUGUGAAAGCCCCCGGCUCAACUGGGGAGGGUCACUCGAUACUGAUCGACUCGAAGGCAGGAGAGGGAAGUGGAAUUCCCGGUGUAGUGGUGAAAUGCGUAGAUAUCGGGAGGAACACCAGUGGCGAAGGCGACUACCUGGCCUGUUCUUGACGCUGAGGCGCGAAAAGCUAGGGGAGCAAACGGG
rnacentral:rRNA from 1 species